rnacentral:rRNA from 1 species
UACCAGCACCCCGAGUGGUUGGGACGAUUAUUGGGCCUAAAGCAUCCGUAGCCGGUUCUACAAGUCUUCCGUUAAAUCCAACUGCUUAACAGGUGGGCUGCGGAAGAUACUAUAGAGCUAGGAGGCGGGAGAGGCAAGCGGUACUCGAUGGGUAGGGGUAAAAUCCGUUGAUCCAUUGAAGACCACCAGUGGCGAAGGCGGCUUGCCAGAACGCGCUCGACGGUGAGGGAUGAAAGCUGGGGGAGCAAACCGG